rnacentral:snoRNA from 1 species
AGCACUUGUUCAGUUUUUGUCUCUUACUGUAGACAAAAACCUGGAACCUAGUGCUUAGAAAAAAACCCUUCUUUGCAACCCACAGCUGAUCUCUCCGUAUUAGUUGUGUUACUUAUAUGAAGGGACAAU